UUAUUACUUUGGCAGAUUAGUGCAAUGAAUUUAGAAUUCAAAUAUAUAAUUUUUAUUAUAAGUAAUA
rnacentral:tRNA from 3 species